UACGUAGGGUGCGAGCGUUGUCCGGAAUUAUUGGGCGUAAAGAGCUCGUAGGCGGUGUGUCACGUCGGCCGUGAAAACCUGCAGCUUAACUGUGGGCGUGCGGUCGAUACGGGCAUCACUGGAGUUCGGCAGGGGAGACUGGAAUUCCUGGUGUAGCGGUGAAAUUCGUAGAUAUCGGGAGGAACACCGGCGGCGAAGGCGGCGAUCUGGGUCGAUACUGACGCUGAGGUGCGAAAGCGUGGGGAGCAAACAGG
rnacentral:rRNA from 1 species